GCAGGGCAACCCCGCUCACUUACAGGAAGUGGACAUGGGCAGAGGGAGAAGACAUACAUCCCUUCAUAUAUCCAGAUGAAUAAGGAAAGAGCAGAGAGGGGGGAGAGAGAGACAGAGGAAGAGAGAGAGAGAUGCCAGUUGGUAACAAAAAGAGCACAGAGCAAGCGAGAGUGGAGCCUGGCACUGAGUCAGGGCGAGUCUAAGCAGACUAUUUAUAGCUAUUUAUAGCUCCUUCCCCUCCCAGCACAGCGAGAGAGCACAAUGGAGGAAAGAGAAGCAGCAGGGGGAGCUAGGAACACCAUGCAGCACGGACUGGGAACAAACAGCAGACUGCAUAUCAGAUGAAAGGAGGAAACACUUCCAACGUAGCGAAGCACUUCAAAGACAGACAUCCAGAUUUAUUCAAAGAAUUCAAGUAUCAGCCACAGGAGGAUGUCGACCAGGAGAG